rnacentral:rRNA from 1 species
GUGGGGAAUAUUGGUCAAUGGACGCAAGUCUGAACCAGCCAAGUAGCGUGAAGGACGACGGCCCUACGGGUUGUAAACUUCUUUUGUACGGGAAUAAAGUGAGGCACGCGCUGCCUUUUUGCAUGUACCGUACGAAUAAGCAUCGGCUAAUUCCGUGCCAGCAGCCGCGGUAAUACGGAAGAUGCGAGCGUUAUCCGGAUUUAUUGGGUUUAAAGGGAGCGUAGGCGGGUUUUUAAGUCUGCGGUAAAAUGUCGGCGCCCAACGUCGUCGUGCCGUGGAAACUGGAGACCUUGAAUACACGCAAGGAAGAUGGAAUUCGUCGUGUAGCGGUGAAAUGCUUAGAUAUGACGAAGAACUCCGAUUGCGAAGGCAGUCUUCUGGAGUGCGAUUGACGCUGAGGCUCGAAAGUGCGGGUAUCAAACAGG